UGAAAUAACUUUGAAUGUCACAAA
rnacentral:siRNA from 1 species